GUACCCAAGGUCUCUAUGACGCUCUGAAUGCCCCAACUCCCCUAGCUCUAUGCUCCGAUCCCCCUCCUCGUUAAGAAGUUCCCGGAAGUACGCCUGCUACCUCUGUUUGAUUUGCGAUUCCCCCAUCAGACUCUACCAUCCUCGUCCUUGAUACACCUGACCUGGUCUACAUCACGAGCUUUCCUUUCCCUUGCUUUAGCCAGCCGGAAUAACUUCUUAUCCCCACCUCUCUCC
rnacentral:lncRNA from 1 species